AAACGAGGAAUAUUCGUUCGGUGGCGAGGCUAUCCGAUUGUUACGGUCGAUUAAAAUCCAAAGCCGUGUUAGGACUGCUUACCGCGAGAGGCGCUACGAUUAAAUUUGUCGGAAUUUCUCUGAAAUCCGAUUCGAAGUUGAGAAAACUAUGCUCGCUCGAAAUUGAUUUUCGACGGAUCAAGUGUUUGCGAGAUGAGAGCGAGGUUAUCGACUUGUUUCUGGCCUCCGGUUAUUAUCAAAAAUUUACGAAUAACUCAUUAUCAAAUAUUCAACGUCCCGGUUAAAAAAUUCGAUCGAUAUACAAACUCUUUUAAGCUAAAUCGUAUAGGUUAGAAAUUUUCAUUAACAAAUUUAUUGCAGAUCGAUAUAGUGCAAUUGAUUUUCUAGCACGGCCGGCUCUUUUAAUCGAGUUAAUCAACGCGUUACGAAUUUACGAGGAAUUGAACGUGGACGAGACGAGAAUUGUAAUACUUAUUGUAGACGCGUGUUUCAAAUUUCAAAUUGUCGCUCCAUAAAUUGCUAUGUUGUUGCACCGAUCGACCAUGAAAUAAAUACAUUGGAAGCAUUGAUUUUACAGCUUAAUCAAGAUAUACGUGAACGUACGAGUUUAUCUGGCCUGUCUGACAUUAUUACGCCCCUACUCUACUGCGUCGAUUCAGUCACGAACGCGUUUCUCUCGUUCAAUCCGAUACGCCUGUAUUUCACUCUGCUUAACUACGUCGUGUCUCGAUAGUUUGGUUAAGUUUAUCCCAUUUCUGUUAAUGGAUACAAAUAUCAACACUUUGACUUCGAGUCACAGAAUCGAGUACGAAUUUUAUUAAAUUAUUUUUAUUAAGAAAGAUAGAAUGUUUCCUUUAAUUUCGUUAUACGAUAAAUAAAUUUUUUCUUUCUUAUAUCUUUACCUUAUAUUUCUCUUAUAUCGUGGACCAUCGAAUUCAAUAAUAUUUCUUCGCACGAUUUAUUAUCGCAAUUCUCUGUUUUCUCGCCGAAUACGUUAUAUUUCGCUAAAACAAAAUUAAUUUCAGAAAAUAUCGUUAAUACGUCGAAGAACUUUUAACCGUUUCCGUAAACGUUUCGAGUAUAUUCUCUUUAAAGCAAACAAGCAACUGGUCCGUUUAAUCACGAAUCGUCGUGAUUUGCGUUUAGCACUUGUCUAUUUGUCAUGGAGGCAAGCAUUCGUGACGAGGCGAUUGCUCGACCGCGUUGAUUUCACGCGCCACUACCAAAGCAAAUUUCCCGAAUCCAAUAUUUCCGUAUGGCUUCUGUACAAUUCACCGGAAUAACGCGUGGAUAAUGAAGCUUAUGACCAGCCUCUACGAUAAUCAAUUUCGACAUAGCGAGCCAUCUUUCUUUGAUCAUGCACUAUAGUUUAAUCAAGCUUCACCGAUUUAGACGGAAACAGAAUUCGUUUGUCUUUGAGGCUUUAAUUGUCUCGUCCAAUACUAGUUUGUACGAUACAACAAUUGUUACGAAGUUAUAUCGUGUCAUCGACUCAAUAUCGAAUCAAUGAAAUAAGAAAAAUGAAAUUUUUAUAUUUUAUUUUAUCGUUUGUUAUAGAAUUAUUGCAAUCAAAUUAUCCUGGGAUUCAAUUUUUUAAAUCUGUCUCUAAUUUUUCAAACUGAAGAAAUUUAUUAACGACAAAAAAUCUUAAGAUUUAAUUUGAAGUAAUUCAAAGCACGUAACACGGUUAUGUGUUAUGUGUAACUUUAUGUUGGCGAGUUGAGAAAGUGAAUUAAAAAAUUAAGAAAAUAAUUUGCCACUGUAAGCGACGAAUUCUGUAUCGGUUAGGAAAGCGAUACUUUAAAUAGUGCGUUAUCGUUUUCAAUUUAAAAAACCGUGAAGAAUGAAAAAACAGUACAAGAGGGAAAUAAAAAUUUACAAGAGAACCGCGGCAUUUUGCCAGGGAAUGCCCGAAUGCCCACAAAUCAACGUCGACUUUACAUUUUAAACAGUUUUCGAGGUAACUACCUACGAACUUGACUGGGAAAUUCCCACGUUAGCCAACCAUCAGGAUCUCCUAGGAUGUCGUGGACUGUUCCUGACGGGAAAACUAAUCCGACAAGCUUGAAAUAUAGUAGGAAAACCACGCGAACACGCCAUUUCCAGGCGUACCGCGAUAUUUUCGAAAGAAUGGAAUCGUCGUUUAAUUAACCUGUCAGAAUACAAUCUCUGGGACACUCUCGUCGAGUGCAUUCGUUUUGCGAGAAUUAUUACGUUCCGUAUAUAGUUCGUGUCGAAAUCUUAAAUCGAAUCGUUUCUUCUGUCGAAAUCGAACUUUCGACAUCUCGAAAAUCAUCGUCCACGAAACAUCGAAGGCAAGUAAGAUACCACGAACGAAUUAAAUUAAAUCCUAGAAUAUGAAGAAGGCAAACUUCGUUAUCGGAAUGUUUUAUUUAAAUAUCGUCACGUUGAAAUGAAAUGAAAUUUAAACAAAUCGAAUAUCUUAAUUGUAAAACAUCUCGUGUCAUUAUCGUUACAAAAAAAAUAGGAAAAUUUAAAUUAUUUCUUUUGUCUAUGAAUAAAUAAAAAAAAAAGAAUUCGACAUAAAUUAAAAACGAAACAUGCAAAAGAAUCAUCUGGAAACAUGUUGAUCUAUUGAAUAUUUCAUAGUAGCCUGCGUGGAUAAAAAAAAAUUGAAAUUCGAUAAAGAAUUUCAAUAUUUAGUUUCAACAAAGAACGUUCACCGAAAAUAAACGAAGAAAUAAAACGAAGCGGAAAUGGAAUAAAAUAAUGUUGAAUGUAUUUUAAUGUUUGUUCAACGAUAUCAAGAUAAAUUUUCCAGAAAUAAUUUUUUUAAUUUCCACGCUAAAAUGUUAAUGGAAUAGUCGGGUAUGUUAAUGGGUAAAGAGAUUUGAGCCGCAAUAAACGCAACUCGGGUUAAUCGAGUUUCUGGUUUUCCAUACUCGAACUUGUCUACUUCGUUAUAACGACAUAAUUACAGUGAAUCACACUUAUUAUACACAAGGAUGGAGGCUUGCGGAAUUUUCAAAUUAGCCUACGCUUUACCGACAUAAUCCGAUUAUCGAACAGUUACAGUUCGCUUCCUACAAUGUAUAUAUCCCUACAAUUUCGUUCCUGUGAAUAUCACAUUACACAGCUGCAAUCAACUAGGUUACACGCUGUGCAUUUUGUAUGCUGUGUAAAUAACACUUCUGUAUAAUGCAAAAAAAAUUCAUAAUUGUUUCUCGAAAUAAUUACAAAGGCGUUUGUUUCGAUAAUUUUAUCAUUGAUUAAAGUAGAACGGUUUAGGACUCUGAAGUGAGGUACAAACUACAUACUAAAAAAUGCAACUUCAAUUCGUUCUUCGGAGAACGCUUCUUUUCUAUAUUCAUUAAUUCUUAUUUUAAAUUUUUGAAAAUUUAAUUGUUAUUUUUUCCAUUCUAUUAUAACACAAAUGUUGUUAUUGUGAAAUUAUUCUGAAUAAAAUAUAUCCAAACACGAAAUAAAGACGAAUUAUUUUUUAGAUAAUAAUUAGCUAAUAAAUGUGACAUUUAAAAAAUCAUGACUCACAAAAUGAAACGUCGAUAUUCCUUUUCGAUCUUUUCCAUUAUUUGAUUUUGUUGACAUAUUCAAUUGAAUGUGAGUUAACUGAUGAAGAGGAUGGAAAACGCGCUGACAUCUGAAAAUACAAAUCGAAAGAAAUUGAAUAAAUCUAUUAACAAAGUAAAAAUCUAAUCAAUUUCUCAAAUAAUUAGUUAUAUUAUUGUAUAAUUUAUAUUAAUAAUAUUAAAUGUGCAAUAAUAAAUAUUAAAUUAUAUAAAAAUUAUAUAAAAAAUAAUUAUUAUCUUCAAUAAUUGAUAUUGUAGCAAUAAAAAAAGUAUAAAUUGCAAUAAUUAAAUUCAUAUUCUUUUUAAAGCUAUUAAUAUAAUAUUAUAUAUUAAUUUUAAUAUUUAUUUAUUGUAUAAUAAUGACGAAAAAAGAAAUUAAUAUUUAAUUUUAUUGUAAUAAUGUCUAAUAAAUUAUUAAAUAAAUACAUAUUAUAUAAACAAGAUUAAGAUUAUACUGUGAAAAAAUCGUACCAAGAGAAAUAGAGAUUUAUAAUUGAGAUGAAAUAUGUCGAACAGGAUGAGACACGUCUUACACCGUCGAUUUUCAACAAUAAAAUGACAUCAUAUGUACCGGUAUAGCAAAAGCAAUGUUCCAUUUCCUAUUGGCUAGAAACAUAUACACCGGUUUAUUAAACAGUUUUUCUAUUGGUUAGAACAAUAUUCACCGGUUCGUUAAGCAAUUUUCUUAUUGGUUAAAGCAUUGCGGUUUUUUGUUCAAAAUCACGAGAAUAUAUUACGUGUUAGUAAAUUUUUCUAGCGCGAUGAAUUAUAAUAUAUUCAUUUAUAAUCGUACUCAUUUUAAUUUUUUAUAUAUAUAUAAAUAUUUAUAAAUCUGAUUGUCAAUUUUAUAUUCUCAAUAUAUUUUUAAAUAUUAUAUUUAUGGAGAUCGAAACACCAUCUAACGACAAUAGAUGUAAUUAACCAUCAACUAGUAAAAUCAAAAAAUUCAAAUUUCUCAACUUCUGGACUAAAUUUCUUCUAAAUUUCUGAAAGCUCAAAUUAAAGAUAAGUCUCUAAAAAAUACUUUGAAAUUAAUUUUUUCUAAUUUUAAUCAAUUACAUUAUAUAAACGAGGUUAUAUGAUAUAAUUGAUAUAGUUAUACACAAAUAUCGUACAAUUUUUUCAUUUUUUUUCAUUUUUUCACUGAAUUUUUUUACUAUAAUUAUUUACAAAAGAUACAAUAUUUUUAAAAAUUUCAAUUUUUAAUUUUUAAUAGUCGCAUAUUUUUUAAUAUUAAUAUGGUAUAAAAUAAAAUGCACGGAUCAUUUUUAAAAAUACAUUUUAUGAAUAUUUACAAUUUCUGUCAUAUUUUCUCAUUUUAAAAUAGUAAUGACAUUUCAUUAUUUUAGCAUUUGUAAAGUAAUUUAAUAAAGAAAAGAUUGAAUUUAUUUUUAUAUAAAGAAAUUGCUCUUAUACGGAUUUUCUGUUUGCGUAACACUUUAUCAAUAAUAAUUAUUUUU